UCGGUGUUGGAGGAGAGAGGUUUUCUGUGAAGCCGGCGCGUGAGCGAUCCGGUGGAGAGAUCACUAGCGAGAAUGAUGACAUGAGUAGCGACAAAGAGUGUGAGAGACACUCUCGCCGAAAGUCCAAGGGUUCCUGCUUAAAGCUAAUCUGAGCAGGGUAAGCCGGCCCCUAAGCCGAGGCCGAAAGGCGUAGGCGAUGGGAACCAGGUUAAUAUUCCUGGGCCAGGAGGAUGUGACGGAUUGUGAAGGUAGUUCGCUCUUAUCGGAUUGAGCGGGCUGCUGAUCAGUCCCUGGAAAUAGCCCUCCAUCAGACCGUACCCUAAACCGACACAGGUGGACUGGUAGAGCAUACCAAGGCGCUC
rnacentral:rRNA from 14 species